CCUACGGGAGGCAGCAGUGGGGAAUAUUGCGCAAUGGGCGACAGCCUGACGCCGCGACGCCGCGUGAGGGAUGAAGGUCUUCGGAUCGUACACCUCUGUCAGCAGGGAAGAACGGUCACUGUGCUAAUCAGCAGUGAAUUGACGGUACCUGCAAAGGAAGCACCGGCUAACUCCGUGCCAGCAGCCGCGGUACUACGGAGGGUGCGAGCGUUAAUCGGACUUACUGGGCGUAAAGCGCUCGUAGGCGGGAUGUCAAGGCAAGGGUGAAAUCCCCGCGCUCAACGUGGGAACUGCCUUUGAAACUGGCAAACUGGAGUGUGUGAGAGGAUAGUGGAAUUCCAGGUGGAGGAGUGAAAUCAGUAGAUAUCUGGAGGAACAUCAGUGGCGAAGGCGACUAUCUGGCACAUAACUGACGCUGAGGAGCGAAAGCGUGGGUAGCAAACAGGAUUAGAUACCCGUGUAGUC
rnacentral:rRNA from 1 species